rnacentral:RNase_P_RNA from 12 species
GGCGGGAAGCUCAGCGGUGGGGCCACGCGCGGAGUGCGCGUCACUCUCCCGGCCCCUGGGAAGGUCUGAGACUCGGGCCAGCAGCGGCCCUAGCAGGGCCCUCCCCGCGCGCGGGGGGGUGAGUUCCCAGAGAGCGGGCCCCGGCGAGGGCCUUCGGGCAGGAGAGGCCGCGCGCGCGCGGCGGAUGCCCCCUCCCCGGGGCUUGGAAUAGACUCACGGCCGGCACGGUGAGUUCAAUGGCUGGGCCGGGGCACCCGAGCUGGCCGGCAUCGGGCCGCGGGGCUCCGGAACCCAAUUCAGACUACUCUCCCCCGCC